UACGGAGGGUGCAAGCGUUAUCCGGAUUCACUGGGUUUAAAGGGUGCGUAGGCGGGUAUAUAAGUCAGUGGUGAAAGCUCCGGGCUUAACUUGGAAACUGCCAUUGAUACUGUAUAUCUUGAAUGUCGUUGAGGUAAGCGGAAUGUUGCAUGUAGCGGUGAAAUGCUUAGAUAUGUUACAGAACACCAAUUGUGAAGACAGCUUACUAAGCGAUGAUUGACGCUGAGGUACGAAAGCGUGGGGAGCAAACAGG
rnacentral:rRNA from 1 species